rnacentral:tRNA from 1 species
GGCGCAUUGGUCAAGCGGUUAAGACACCGCCCUCUCACGGCGGUAACAGGGGUUCGAUUCCCCUAUGCGCUACCA